AUGACACCCCAGUCGGAGGCCGGCAGGGGCCUCCCGCAGCCGCCCCGCCCUCGGGCCUCGCCGGAGAGCUCCGACCCCGGCGGUACCUGCGAGACCCGCCCCCUCAGCGGCCCACGCGGCCCGGGAGCCCUCUCCCUCCCUCCACCCACCGCACGCCCGAACCUGCGCACCGCGCCGCCGCCGCCGCCGCGCGCUCCGGGCACUUCCGGCGCCCGGACUUCCUCGCGAGAGGACCAGGCGGCGCGGGCGGAGGGCGCGCGAGCGCGCCCCCGAGGCCACACGCCUGCUCGUAGGCGAGGCGUGGUCACAAGCGUGUGCGCGCGCCCGCCGGCCCCGGCCCGUUUCCCCGAAAUUCGCCCCUCGGCGUCGAUGCGCAGGCGUAGGUUUGGGAGCGAGGCCUCAGGGACUGCGGGGGUAAGAAAAGGAGCGCAAACUUUUGGUCCUCAUCGGCCGGGGCCUGCAUUGACAGCCUGUAAACGGGUUGUUUUCAGUCCCGGUUAGAAUCACCUGGAGAGAUUUUUUUUUAACCCCGCCCCGGUAGCAGCCCAGACCAAUUAAAAGAGAAUUGAUACGGAAUGCGACCCAAUAUAUAUUAAAAUUCUAGGUGAUCCCAGUUUGCAGCCAAGGUGGGAGGGCCCUGCUCCAAAACCUCUGAGUAGGCAUAUAUCCCGAUUAUCCCAUUAAGCGUCAACAGUUUAUUGGUGGGAGUAGCCCCACCGUAAAAAAUGGGGGCUGUGGCCUCGGAGCUACCCGAGGAUCUACUAGGACAAAGUAUCUGGGAUCCGCAAACGCACGGGGCAUGGGCUGUGCCCUAAAAGGCUUACCGGUCAGCUUGGCCAACUUGUAAGAUGUCUCUUUGUGCAGGACAAAUGUAAAGGUCAGCAUGUUCAAAAAGUUCACAGAAGUUAGGACUCUGGUUAAGAGAAUGGGACCGGAUCGUCCUGUGAUUCUGGAACUUAAAAAUCUCUGGUAGAAAACCCAUCUACCUUUCACUUCUUUCCCUUGCUGGAAGGAGAGAGAAGCGAUAGAACCUUCCAACUUUCACAAGCCCUAUCGUCUUGCCUUCUCUCUGGAUAUCCCCUGGGAAGUACCAGAGGUAGACUAAUUCCUUCAGCAACAAAGAUUUGAAGCACUUGUUUUGUGGCACUGUUCUUGACUCCUAUCUGAUGCUUACCCUGCCCCCUCUCAGAGGUAGGCUUUUUCCCUUGCCUUUGCUGCAGUUUAGCAUGACCCCCAAAUUCUUCUGGAGGCAACAUUUUGAACGUGAAAACGGACUUACCUUUGGUAUCUACGAAGUGCGUUUUCAGGUGUUAACGUUCUGCGGUAGCAGUGAUAGAUAAUCUGGAUACUGGGGGUGGGGGGGGCAGUGUCUAUCCACUUAACAUUCUUAAAAUUGAAUGCCCAUUUUCUUAAAAUUGAAGUUAUCCUGAUUCUGAACCCUCCUACAGCACAUGAAAAGGACUGUCAGUGGAGGAGUCACUCGGUGCUAGCAGACAGGGGAGAGUAGAAGCAUUCCCAGAGAACUUCCCGGAAGGUGAAGAAACUGGGCCCGUCUACUGAGGCUCAGUUUUCUUGGAGCCCAGCAGAUGUGACGCUUCUAGUCUGCCGUGGUACGAAGCCACUCCAUAGUGUGAGAAUCUCGUGACUGUCUGGCUAAUGGGAUAAAACUCCUCUCUCGGAGCUCCAAGAUCUGCUUGCUCACUUUGGGUGCUUUUUCCCCUCAGUCUUGCUGAGUUAACACUUAUACUGAAUCGCCUGAAAUCAAAUUGUAGAGAUCUUAUCUUCAGUGUAUUGCAAUGACCUUCUUAGCUGACCCUCAAGUAAUUUAACCCAUGUCCUAAUGUUCAAUUAAAAUUGCAUCAAAUAGGUGAAA